UCGUCCGGAUCGGUCUCCUGGCUUGACGAUAUUGCGAAAUUAACCCACCUUGUCGAACAAGGUGGCUCCCGUUAAAAAGCGCCAUGGCGGGAGUAAAAUCUCGUGAAUUGCUGGAACCCCCUAAAGCCAACUUGACCACAACGUGGCCGGCAACGGCGAGCGUGAUGGUUUGAAAACAAGUUGGAUGUAACAAUGGGCAACCAGCAGCCAAGCAUCUCUGGAAACGGAGAUGAAGGUUCAACGACUAUUGAAACUUCCUACAGCUCCCAAUAUAAUUAAAUUAAAAUUAUAAUAUUAAUCAAGGUGGUUGGUAUAUUGGGGGCCAUGGAAGGAGUAAAUCGUAACGCUCGGCAACGACGUUACGAGGCACGAGACAAAGAAGAGAUCAUGAAGAAAGCAAAAUAUCUCCAUGAACAAGGAUAUAGCCAAGUUAAAAUUUGAUCUUUAUAUUUCAAGCAUCGAAGAUCUCAGAAAAAUAUUCCAUUACCUUUAUCAACAUGGAGAUAUAAAAUUGAAUCGUAAAUAUGAAAAGUUCUCUGAUCUCUUCUUUGAUGAUAUAGUCUGACCUCCGUUCGAAAGACGGAG
rnacentral:ncRNA from 1 species